UUUUCUACUUUCUCUUCUCUCUUCUGGUUUCACAUCAAUGACUAUUUUCUCUUUCUACUUUCUCUUCUCUCUUCUGCUUUCACAUCAAUGACUAUUUUCUCUUUCUCUUUGGAUUUUUGGUUUAUGAACUAUUAUUAUGUGUUUGUUUCAGAUCUUGCAGAAGCACUGCUUGAAUGCAAAGAAAAUGUUCAAGAUCUCUUAUGGUAUGUGCAAUAAAAGACCCUUCCACUUUUUCUAUUUUCUACCACCUAUGUUGUGUCAAUAAAGGUUGAAGGAUGCAAAUGUUAGAGCUCGGAUCUGUCACACAUAUUUCAGAUCUACAAGGUUCUCUAAUCUUUCACAACUUCAUGCUCUAAAUGGAAUAUUUAUAUUUUGUUUUUAUUUUUAUUUGUCUUCUUCCUUCUUACUUUUUUGUUUCCUAACAUUUAAUCUUAUAUUUUUUUCUUUUUGAUUUCAUGUUUCAGUUGUUGCUUUAUAGAUCUCUUAUGUU